UACAGAGGGUGCAAGCGUUGCUCGGAAUCAUUGGGCGUAAAGGGUAGGUAGGUGGUCUCAUUUGUCUGGGGUGAAAGCCCAGGGCUUAACCCUGGAAGUGCCCCGGAAACGGUGAGACUGGAGUACUGGAGAGGGUCGUGGAAUUCCCGGUGUAGCGGUGAAAUGCGUAGAGAUCGGGAGGAACACCAGAGGCGAAGGCGGCGACCUGGACAGUUACUGACACUCAACUACGAAAGCGUGGGGAGCAAACAGG
rnacentral:rRNA from 1 species